UUGAACGCUGGCGGCAGGCCUAACACAUGCAAGUCGAGCGGUAGCACAGAGAGCUUGCUCUCGGGUGACGAGCGGCGGACGGGUGAGUAAUGUCUGGGAAACUGCCUGAUGGAGGGGGAUAACUACUGGAAACGGUAGCUAAUACCGCAUAACGUCGCAAGACCAAAGUGGGGGACCUUCGGGCCUCAUGCCAUCAGAUGUGCCCAGAUGGGAUUAGCUAGUAGGUGGGGUAACGGCUCACCUAGGCGACGAUCCCUAGCUGGUCUGAGAGGAUGACCAGCCACACUGGAACUGAGACACGGUCCAGACUCCUACGGGAGGCAGCAGUGGGGAAUAUUGCACAAUGGGCGCAAGCCUGAUGCAGCCAUGCCGCGUGUGUGAAGAAGGCCUUCGGGUUGUAAAGCACUUUCAGCGGGGAGGAAGGCGGUGAGGUUAAUAACCUCACCGAUUGACGUUACCCGCAGAAGAAGCACCGGCUAACUCCGUGCCAGCAGCCGCGGUAAUACGGAGGGUGCAAGCGUUAAUCGGAAUUACUGGGCGUAAAGCGCACGCAGGCGGUCUGUCAAGUCGGAUGUGAAAUCCCCGGGCUCAACCUGGGAACUGCAUUCGAAACUGGCAGGCUAGAGUCUUGUAGAGGGGGGUAGAAUUCCAGGUGUAGCGGUGAAAUGCGUAGAGAUCUGGAGGAAUACCGGCGGCGAAGGCGGCCCCCUGGACAAAGACUGACGCUCAGGUGCGAAAGCGUGGGGAGCAAACAGGAUUAGAUACCCUGGUAGUCCACGCCGUAAACGAUGUCGAUUUGGAGGUUGUGCCCUUGAGGCGUGGCUUCCGGAGCUAACGCGUUAAAUCGACCGCCUGGGGAGUACGGCCGCAAGGUUAAAACUCAAAUGAAUUGACGGGGGCCCGCACAAGCGGUGGAGCAUGUGGUUUAAUUCGAUGCAACGCGAAGAACCUUACCUGGUCUUGACAUCCACAGAACUUUCCAGAGAUGGAUUGGUGCCUUCGGGAACUGUGAGACAGGUGCUGCAUGGCUGUCGUCAGCUCGUGUUGUGAAAUGUUGGGUUAAGUCCCGCAACGAGCGCAACCCUUAUCCUUUGUUGCCAGCGGUUAGGCCGGGAACUCAAAGGAGACUGCCAGUGAUAAACUGGAGGAAGGUGGGGAUGACGUCAAGUCAUCAUGGCCCUUACGACCAGGGCUACACACGUGCUACAAUGGCAUAUACAAAGAGAAGCGACCUCGCGAGAGCAAGCGGACCUCAUAAAGUAUGUCGUAGUCCGGAUUGGAGUCUGCAACUCGACUCCAUGAAGUCGGAAUCGCUAGUAAUCGUAGAUCAGAAUGCUACGGUGAAUACGUUCCCGGGCCUUGUACACACCGCCCGUCACACCAUGGGAGUGGGUUGCAAAAGAAGUAGGUAGCUUAACCUUCGGGAGGGCGCUUACCACUUUGUGAUUCAUGACUGGGGUG
rnacentral:rRNA from 1 species